rnacentral:rRNA from 1 species
CAAUAGCGUAUAUUAAAGUUGUUGCAGUUAAAAAGCUCGUAGCUGGAUUUCUGGUUGAAGCGACCGGUCGGGCGUUGAUUCGUCUGCACUGGAGUCGGUUUUGGCCAUCCUCUAGGAAAGUGCGUCUGGUAUUAAGUUAUCGGGCGUAUGAUCCUGGUCUUUUACUGUGAAAAAAUUAGAGUGUUUAAAGCAGGCCUUCGCCUUGAAUACAUUAGCAUGGAAUAAUAAGAUAGGACUUUGGUCUAUUUUGUUGGUUUGCAGACCGAAGUAAUGAUUAAUAGGGAUAGUUGGGGGUAUUUAUAUUCCGAUGUCAGAGGUGAAAUUCUUAGAUUUUCGGAAGAUAAACUUAUGCGAAAGCAUUUACCAAGGAUGUUUUCAUUAA